rnacentral:tRNA from 1 species
AGAAACUUAGGCUUAAAUGUUAAACCAAGGGCCUUCAAAGCUCUAAACGGGAGUUCAAGUCUCCCAGUUUUUG